rnacentral:lncRNA from 1 species
GUCUAGAGCUUAAAUCCCUAUUACAGCUAAAGUUCACUGUGAGUCAGCCCAUUCCUCAUAGAAUGGAGUACGUUUAAACCAAGUACUUGCCCACCCUCAUUUACAAAAGAGUUGUAAAGGAGACAGGUCUUUAGCAUGGGUGUUUCUGCUUCUCACCAACACAUUGGAGGUGCUCAUGUUAUACCCACUUUAUCAGGAGGCAGGCAAAAAGUAUGGUAGUAAGAAAACCUCCACCAAUACUGGAAGUUACAGACAUAAAGAUGUCCCAUGAGAGUUAUCUGGAACAUCUCUAUUCAAACAAAAUGUUGGUUUGUAGGAAAAAACCCAAACCCAAGGAACUCACUAUUGCAGACACUGAUGAAAAUGGUUACAGGGCAGAAAACUGCUGGGUGACUUGUCAUGAAAGAAUUUAUUGUGGUUCCUGUGAUUUCCAGUAUGCCUCUAAAAGACUGAUUUCUGAGUAUUUGAUCCUUGUCACUCCCCAAAGUCUAACCCAAAUUUUGUUCUGUUCUUGUUAAAGUUUGAGUAACUCAUUUAGAAAUUGGAAGUGUAUUUUGUCAUGGAUACUUUUAUUGCACUGUCUUCCUUCUUGAAUCUAAUAAUACUUUGAUUUUUAAGCUACCUCUAUAUGUUGAGUUUUUUUGCCAAUUUUGUAUUUAUUUGAGUUUUAAGAAACUACAAAAUAUUUCCUUAUUUAUUUAUGUGGGGAUCCAUGACUUGAAGACACCAAGUCCUCCUCCUGUUUAAAGUUUUUCUUAAAGGGCUUUUAAAUGUAGGUAAAAGACUUAAGCUUUUGAAGGAGCAGAAUCAUUACACACUUUUAGAGCAUGGGUUCUCCUGUGUGUAUUACUUGCUUUUAGAAGGGCCAUAAAGCCCUUUUGUAAUAAUCUCAGUUGAGGACAUGACUUUUCAGGGGCAAUAAAUCUGAGAUGGGGCAUUGUAAUCAAUUUAACUUAUUGCCAAUUAAAGAGCUUUUAGUUACUGGGUUUGGUAUUGAAGGAAAAAGUAAAUGAAACACUUGAAAAACACUGCUGCUUUCUUCCAGACACCACUCUACCCUCUCUCCCCCCAUGCCAUAAGCCCCAUGGUGGUCUCCAGUUCCUUGGCUGUAUGUUGUGCUUGGUCCCUUCAGCAAGGCAACAGGCAGCACAGGAGAUUGGCACCAGUCUGUUGUGCUUGCUGUUCUUUUCACUGCUCCUUGUUUCUUACUCAACUGCUCUUGUGUGGGUUUCUUCACCAGCUGCAGUCCCUUUAGAGUUGUAGCUCCUCCUAAGUCUACUCUCAGUCUCUGCUCAGGCUAGGACUUUCCUUUUGGCAUUUCUCCUGCUCAGCUGUCUCUCUGCUCCUUUUGUGCUAGCAUGGUCUCAUCCUUCUUUCUUCCUACUGCUAUAGUACUGUAAUCUAUUUUUCUUGUCACUUAGUGCCCUUUCUGAAACACCUGGAUGUAGGGAAGCAGUUUGUUACUGUGAGAGUGACUGAGCACUGAAGAUGUUGUGGAGUCUCCAUGUGUGGAGAUAUUCAAAAGCUAGCUGGACAGCCUGCUUUAAUAGGUGGCCUUGCUUGAGCAGGGGUUUGGACCAGAUGACUUCCAGAGGUUUCUUCUAACCUCAGCUAUUCUGUGAUGCCUGUGCUGCCUGUUGCUGAGCUGGCUGGGACCAGCACAGGGUAGCCCCCAGCCUCUUCCCACACAAGACACCCUGCAGACCCCUCACUACCAAAACCCUGACAGUUAUGCUCAAUAUGUGACUGAACAAGGGUUUCUUGCAAAUCAAGUCCUUACACAUUGGGCUGGCAGUUUUUGUGAGUGGUAGUUGGUACUGUAUUCCCUUUCUGUGUUAUUGUUGUCUUAGGUCAAGUAAAGGAAACUCCUAAGGAUAUAAUCAGACAUUCAUAGCCAAGUUCUGUGUCUGGUUACAUUUGCAUCCCUGCUGAUUUCAGAAGACAGAACUUAGGCCUCCGCUUGACCAGAGGAGCAGCCAAAGGGAUAAACUACUUUCUUUCUGCUCAACCCUUCAUCAUCAUGAAAACAAAUCUGUGUAUAGUCUCUAUCCUGUAGACUUUGUAUUGCUUCCUCAUGCCAGUUUAGCUUGAACCAACAAUCAGAAGUCCUUGCCAGCUGAGUAACAGGGAAGUGGGAAUAGAUUCACCGCUUCAAACACAAAUCAAGUUGUAUAUAGUUGGUGUGUGUACUUUUAAAUAUUUAUAAUUUGGAUUACUUGAAUACUGUUAUAAGCCUUCUCACGUUAAAAUGAGGACUGAAAUAUUUCAGAAGUACUUCCUCUUUAACUGUCUUAGUGUGCUGUUGUUAACUCAGAGUUGUACUCCUGAGAAGUCUGGGUUUAGAAUACUUGAUCUGAGAAGUCGCAACUAAAGACAGCAUAAGCUUUUCCACAAUAGACCUUUUAUGGUGGUAUACUCAUAUGUUCUGUGAACAGCUGUUGGAUUCAUCUUUUUAAGAUGUUCUUUACCAUAGGUGAGGGGCCAUAAUAAAUGUUGAAAUACUCAAAAUGAUUGCACUUAUCUAUUGUUUUGUUGAUAUAUUUCUUAUGCAUACUGUCUAACCUGUAUGUGCUGUACUUCACUGGAGGUACGAAAGGUAAAUAUCAAUGAUAAAUUACAAUAAUAAAUAAAAUAAAUUACAAAAGGUAAAUGAGUUUUAAAAGUAAUUCUGUAAGACUGCAUAUUUUCCUGUGAUGUUAUGUAUGAGAGGCGAUGGUGGUAAGCACAUGUGAAUUUACUCAAAAGUUAAUAUUGGUGGUCUUUACAUUCUCACUUUAUUUCUGAAUUAUUUUGAUCAUUUGAAAUACAGUUUCUCUUUAAAGAUUUUGUAGAGUAACCUAUGUUAGUAAACCAGCUUCUAGGUGAUUUGUAACAGCUCUGAUACUGCCUCUGACUCAUACAGUUCAUACAAUGUCUUUGUAACUUAUUUCGUGCCUUUUCUUCCCCUGACACAAAAUCUCAAUAAAAAACAGCUCUUUUGCAACACUGCAAACC